GACGAACGCUGGCGGCGCGCUUAACACAUGCAGGUCGAGCGAGAACCAGUCCUCGGACGUGGGACGAGCGGCGAACGGGUGAGUAACACGUGGGUAAGUCUGCCCUCGAUUCUGGGAUAGCCCGGGGAAACCCGGAUUAAUACCGGAUAGCCUCUCGAGCUUACGAGCUCUUGAGAAAAGGUAGCUUCGGCCUCCGAUCGAGGAUGAGCCCGCGGCGGAUUAGCUAGUUGGUGGGGAAUGGCCUACCAAGGCAACGAUCCGUAGCUGGUCUGAGAGGACGAUCAGCCACACUGGGAC
rnacentral:rRNA from 1 species